ensembl:snRNA U1 U1 spliceosomal RNA
AAAAAAAAAAAGUGGUUCACCCAGGGCGAGGCUCAGCCAUUGCACUCCAGUUGUGCUGACCCCUGCGAAUUCCCAAAUGUGGGAAUCUCGACUGCAUAAUUUGUGGUAGUGGGGGACUGCGUUCGCGCUCUCCCCUG